UCACGGAAGGGAUGUAUUUAUUAGACUAAAAACCAAUGCGGGCCUCGGUCCGCUUGCUUGGUGAUUCAUGAUAACUUUUCGAAUCGCAUGGCCUUGCGCCGGCGAUGUUUCAUUCAAAUUUCUGCCCUAUCAACUGUCGAUGGUAAGGUAGUGGCUUACCAUGGUUGCAACGGGUGACGGAGAAUUAGGGUUCGAUUCCGGAGAGGGAGCCUGAGAAACGGCUACCACAUCUAAGGAAGGCAGCAGGCACGAAAAUUACCCAAUCCCGAUUCGGGGAGGUAGUGACAAGAAAUAACGGUACGGGGCCUUUAUAGGUCUCGCAAUCGGAAUGAGAACAAUUUAAAUCCUUUAACGAGGAUCAAUUGGAGGGCAAGUCUGGUGCCAGCAGCCGCGGUAAUUCCAGCUCCAAUAGCGUAUAUUAAAGUUGUUGCAGUUAAAAAGCUCGUAGUUGGAUUUCGGAGCGGGCCCGUUGGUCCACCGCAAGGUGAGCUACUGGCGGGUCUGUUCUUCUUCGCAAAGACUGCAGGUGCACUUCGCUGUGUGCUUGUCGGAUUUGUGACGUUUACUUUGAAAAAAUUAGAGUGUUCAAAGCAGGCUUUCGCUUGAAUACAUGAGCAUGGAAUAAUGGAAUAGGACUUUGGUUCUAUUUUGUUGGUUUCUAGGACCGAAGUAAUGAUUAAGAGGGACAAACGGGGGCAUCUGUAUUUCGUUGUCAGAGGUGAAAUUCUUGGAUUUGCGAAAGACAAACAACUGCGAAAGCACUUGCCAAGAGUGUUUUCAUUAAUCAAGAACGAAAGUUAGAGGAUCGAAGACGAUCAGAUACCGUCCUAGUUCUAACCAUAAACGAUGUCGACUAGGGAUCGGCGGGCGUUAUUUUAUGACCCCGUCGGCACCUUACGGGAAACCAAAGUUUUUGGAUUCCGGGGGUAGUAUGGUUGCAAAAGGACUCCGUGGAGAUGAACGAGUUGAUAAGAGUGUGUAGUACAUUCUUCAAAGAGAAAGGCUUAUCUGUAAACCCAGGUAAAUGUCAAUCGCUAAGAGUUCUUCCCGUAAAGGAGAAGAAACGGUCAAUGAAGGUCCUUGUUAGACCUCAUAGAUGGUGGAGGAUAAAAGACCAGGAUGUUGACAUCCCAUCUAUGACAUACGACAGCUUAGGAAAAUACCUUGGUGUUUCGAUUGACCCAACUGGUAGGAUAGCACUUCCGAUUGAGGAGUGGAAGAAUUGGAUGACCAAGCUAAAAGAGUGUAAGCUCAAGCCCGAGCAGAAAGUUAAAAUUCUGAAAGAAGUGGUUUGCUCUCGGGUAAACUACGUUUUGCGGAUGU
rnacentral:rRNA from 1 species